rnacentral:rRNA from 1 species
CAAAGGGAAGCGAAACUGCGAGGUGGAGCAAAACCCAAAAAAGUAGUCCCAGUUCGGAUUGAAGGCUGAAAUUCGCCUUCAUGAAGCCGGAAUUGCUAGUAAUGGCAGGUCAGCAUACUGCCGUGAAUACGUUCCCGGGCCUUGUACACACCGCCCGUCACACCAUGAGAGUUGGGAAUACCCGAAGCCUGUGAGCUAACUUUUAGAGGCAGCAGUCGAAGGUAGAAUCAAUGAUUGGGGUGAAGUCGUAACAAGGUAUC